AAGAAAAUGGCAGAGGGGUGAUGCAUUCGGCUUGAAACCGAAGGAUGGGGGUUCAACUCCCUCUUUUCUUG
rnacentral:tRNA from 1 species